rnacentral:rRNA from 1 species
CAGCUUUUAAAAAAGGCGGCGUAAGCUGUCGCUAUGGGAUGGCCCCGCGGUGCAUUAGCUAGUUGGUAAGGUAAAGGCUUACCCAAGGCGAUGAUGCAUAGCCCCGAGUUGAGAGACUGAUCGGGCCACAUUGGGGACUGAGACACGGGGCCCAAAACUCCUACGGGGGGAGGGGCAGCAGGUAGGGGGAAUCUUCCACAAUGGACGCAAGUCUGAUGGAGCAACGCCGCGUGAGUGAAGAAGGUUUUCGGAAUCGUAAAGCUCUGUUGUUGGUAAAGAAGGAUAGAGGUAGUAACUGGUCCUUUAUUUGACGGUAAUCAACCAGAAAGUCACGGCUAACUACGUGCCAGCAGCCGCGGUAAU